rnacentral:misc_RNA from 1 species
CUCUCAACCAUCUAAAUGAACAGCUCAAAUCAAGCACCAAUCAAAAGAGACAACUUAAUCGCAAUGCUUCUGGCUUACACCACAUGUGUUCAAGUAUCAAGUUUCAUUUUCUGGUUGGUGUUUCUGCUACAGAAUUAUUCGGCCCUGUUGCUCAAACAAAGAAACAAGCGGUUUCACCCCGAAUCUGUCGCUGAAACCGAAAAACAGAAAUAUACCAUGGCUCACUACGAAAAAGGAAUGAAAGAUGUUCCAGGUGAAGAUAUUCACGCGUACAACACAAAUUAUUCGGCGCACCGAGAAGGCAUCGCACCCGAAGAAAUGGUUGAAAUUUACAACAAGUGGGGAGAAAACUAUGAAAAGGAUUUUGCCGGGCGCUACAAUGGACCAGUUAUAGCAGCAACUUCGUUGGCGGAGCACUUCGAGAAAGGCAGGCGUGAUGCGUACGUCUUGGACGUCGCGGCAGGGACUGGUAUGGUUGGCGAACAAUUGCAUCAUAGAGGUUUUACUGCCAUCGACGGUCUAGAUCCUUCCAAGACAUUACUGAACAUAGCAGAAAGGAAAAAUAUUUAUGGGCGGUUAAUUAAUAGCUUCAUUACCUCUGAACCCACUGCCAGUAUUGAAGAAGGUAAUGAGAACAUCGAAAUCAUAAAAACACGUACGAUGCCAUUGUAAUUUCGGGCGGAAUGGGAGAAGGGCAUAUAAAAUGUUCAGCUCUAAAUGAAAUGAUUCGAAUAGUGAAAAAAGGAGGUCUUAUUUGUAUCGUCAUGAGAGAAGAAUACCUUGAUUAUGUAGAGGAAUAUAAAAACCUG